AUGCUCGUGGCUUGUCCCUUCUCCAAGGAAAUUUGGUAUCGCACUUUCUCCUGGUGCCGCCUCACUACUGCUCCCCCUGACGGCACCCUUCCCCUCUACGCUUGGUGGCGGUCCGCAACGGACCCUGUGCCUCACUCUCUCCGAAAGGCACUUGCCUCGAUCGUCCCAGUCAUCACGUGGGCGAUUUGGAAGCACCGCAACCCAUGCAUCUUUGAUCAACAACAACCUUCCAUCAACCUCCUGCUUGCUGCCAUCCAAGACGACGUGCGCGCCUGGGCUAUGGCCGGCACCAAAGGGCUACAAGCACUAAUUGAUGUAAUGUAG
rnacentral:rRNA from 1 species